rnacentral:lncRNA from 1 species
GCCUUGACCUCCCAAAGUGCUGGGAUUACAGGUGUGAGCCACUGUGCCCAGUCCUUUCUUUUUUUUUCUUUUCUUUUUUUUUUUUUUUUUGAGACAGUCUUGCCCUGUCGCCCAGGCUGGAGUGCAGUGGCGCGAUCUCGGCUCACUGCAACCUCCGCCUCUCAGGUUCAAGCUAUUCUCUGCCUCAGCCUCCGGAGUAGCUGGGAUUACAAGCACCCACCACCACGCCCGGUAAUUUUUGUAUUUUUUUAGUAGAGAUGGGGUUUCACCAUCUUGGCCAGGCUGGUCUUGAACUCCUGACCUUGUGAUCCACCUGCCUUGGUCUCCCAAAGCGUUGGGAUUACAGGCGUGAGCCACCAUGCCUGGCCUUUUCUUUUCUUUUUUUGAGACAGGAUCUUGCUCUGUCCUUCAGGCUGGAGUGCAGUGGCACUAUCAGCUCACAGCAGCCUUGACCUCCUGGGCUCAAACAAUCCUCCUGCCUCAGCCUCCUGAGUAGCUGGGACUACAGGUAUGCAUCACCACACUCAGCUAAUGUUUUUUUGAUUUUUUGUAGAGACAAGGUCUCACCAUGUUGUCCGGGCUGGACUUGAACUCCCAAAAGUGUUGGGAUUACAGGCAUAAGCUGCUGCGCCCAGCUGAGAGAGACCAUUCUGAGAGAGGCCAUGGGAGCCUCAGCAGGCUGUGAGACAACCUUAGCCAGGGCAGGAGCCUGGAAACAGGUGGGCAGAUGAGGCUGGGCUGAUGGGAGAUGCAUGAGGUCUGAGCUGGAAGGGAUCUCAAAGAUCUCUCCAACUCAUUUUACAGGAGGAAAUUGAGGCCCAAAGAGGGAAAGGGGCUUGCCCAAUGACACACAAGAGGUUAACGGUAGAGCCAGGCUAGAAAGACCCAGAGAAGAUCAAGUACACCCCAAUUAAACACAAAGUUCACCCUCACAUACUCCCACCUCCAGGCACCACCGCCCCCGCCCCAUCCAACAAGCACACUAACACUGGGGCAGUGACAGUGGCUGCAUUUCCUCCUAUAAUAGACCCUCUUUUCCCAGGAUGAAGCCCCCACCUUAGGUUAUUAGGGGCUCCAGUCAGACCCAGCUCAGCUUCUAUUUCACUGUGGGGACCCUGGGGCCUUCCUUCCCAUUCCCUGAGCCACAGUUUGCUCAUCUGUGAUGUGAGGCCACUGGACCAACUGACCACUGUGGUUUUUUCAGUUCUCAGUGAGCAGAGGAAGGCGAGGCUAGGGCUUCUUCCUCCCUCUGGUCCCCCAGCCCCCAGUCCAGCCUGACAGGGGUGGGGCCGGCCUGCUGGGGCUCACAUGCCUGAGGAGUAAGCUCCUGGUCCCGAGGAGGCAACAUGAUCUGUAAAAGAUCCCUGACCAUCUUUUUGAACCCUGGAGAGGGCGUCUCAGUCAUAUGAGGACCACAGGGGGAUUAGCGAUGCUUAGAAGGGAGGCCAGGGAGAGCUGCCCUGUCCUAGCCUUCUGGGAGUGCCCCAGCCCCUCUGAAGGGGUUCGAGCCAAUCCAGGGCCUAUGCAAUGAGGGACCAGCAGGACUCAGGGGAUGGGGGAAAGGACCUUCUCAAGGCUCAUUUUGGGAGGGGGAGUACAUACCUGCUUCCCCCACCCGUGCUCCCCCAUGACCCACUCCAUGGGAUAUUUGGGUUUCCUCCCCUUUCCCGAGCUCAGGCCCUGCUUGCUUUCUCCACAACAAGGAGCGAAUGUUAUUUAAAAGGAGAUCAGGAGAUUUGCCUUAAAUAGGCAUGGAGUGCUGUGCCAGGUCCCAGUAGAGGGGCGGGAGAGGAGGCCAUCUUGGCGGAAGGGAGAAAGGAGUGGAGCUGCAAGAGAGAACAACCUCCCAGGAGUGCGCAGAGCCCUGCACAGUUUACCAAGCACAGGCCUAGUCUGCGGGGAGACGCCCCGGUCUUCAGAUGCCAGGAGUGUGGAGGUUUUCUGGGAGGCAAGGGGAUAGGGCCUGCAGAGUGGGGGGCUGUCUUGAGACCUCCCCUGACACCUGCCCCCACCAUCAGUUUCCAGACCUUUGGCCCCUGCCCCCGGGCUGCCCCUGCCUGUCCUCCCAGCCCUAGCUUGUAACUGGAUGCCAUCCUCACUCUGCACCUUCCCAGGUGAUGCUCUUGGAAUCUUAAGGAAAUGGAGUCUGGCCUGUGGAGUUUUGGGGACAGAGCUAGGGGGAAAGGAAGCAUCCCAUGUUCAGUCCUUUUUUCAAAGGCCCUGAACACCAAGGUCUAAAGAUUCCACUGUAGACUGGGCGCGGUGGCUCACACUUGUAAUCCCAGCACUUUGGGAGGCUGAGGUGGGCGGAUCACCUGAGGCUGGGAGUUCGAGACCAGCCUGACCGAC